rnacentral:rRNA from 1 species
UACGUAGGAUGCAAGCGUUGUCCGGAAUUAUUGGGCGUAAAGAGCUCGUAGGCGGUCUGUCGCGUCUGCUGUGAAAAUCCAGGGCUCAACCCUGGACCUGCAGUGGGUACGGGCAGACUAGAGUGCGGUAGGGGAGAUCGGAAUUCCUGGUGUAGCGGUGAAAUGCGCAGAUAUCAGGAGGAACACCCGUGGCGAAAGCGGCUCUCUGGGACGGUACUGACGCUGAGACGCGAAAGCGUGGGGAGCAAACAGG